rnacentral:rRNA from 1 species
UGCCAUCCGCCGCGGUAAUACGGAGGGUGCAAGCGUUGUUCGGAAUUAUUGGGCGUAAAGCGCGUGUAGGCGGCUCUUUAAGACAGGUGUGAAAUCCCCGGGCUUAACCUGGGAAUUGCGCUUGUGACUGGGGAGCUCGAGUGCGGCAGAGGGGGAUGGAAUUCCUGGUGUAGCAGUGAAAUGCGUAGAUAUCAGGAGGAACACCGAUGGCGAAGGCAGUCCCCUGGGUCGACACUGACGCUCAUGCACGAAAGCGUGGGGAGCAAACAGGAUUAGAUA